rnacentral:rRNA from 1 species
UCAGGAUUAACGCUGGCGGCGUGCCUAACACNUGCNAGUCGAGCGAGAAGUCNGAAGUGAAACUUCNGUGAAGCAGAAGAUGGAAAGCGGCAGACGGGUGAGUAACGCGUGAAUAAUCNACCCUGUACAAAGGGAUAGCCUCGGGAAACCGGGAUUAAUACCAUAUGAAGUAUAUUAAUCGCAUGAUAGAUAUAUUAAAACUUUGGUGGUACAGGACGAGUUCGCGUCCCAUUAGCUAGUUGGUGAGAUAAAAGCUUACCAAGGCGACGAUGGGUAGCCGGCCUGAGAGGGUGAACGGCCACACUGGAACUGAGACACGGUCCAGACUCCUACGGGAGGCAGCAGUGGGGAAUAUUGCACAAUGGAGGAAACUCUGAUGCAGCGACGCCGCGUGAGCGAAGAAGGCUUUCGAGUCGUAAAGCUCUGUCCUAAGAGAAGAAGAAGUGACGGUAACUUAGGAGGAAGCCCCGGCUAACUACGUGCCAGCAGCCGCGGUAAUACGUAGGGGGCUAGCGUUGUCCGGAAUUACUGGGCGUAAAGGGUGAGUAGGUGGUCAUUAAAGUCAGAUGUAAAAGGCAAUGGCUCAACCAUUGUAAGCAUUUGAAACUUAAUGACUUGAGUGCAGGAGAGGUAAAUGGAAUU